AAUGAACGCUAGCGGCGUGCUUAACACAUGCAAGUCGUACGAGAACUCUUUAGCUUGCUAAAGAUAGUAAAGUGGCGCACGGGUGAGUAACGCGUGGGUAAUCUACCUCUGAAUUUGGGAUAACUCCGCGAAAGCGGUGCUAAUACCGGAUAAUAUUUCAGAAUCUUCGGGUUUUGAAAUCAAAAGUGGUCUCUACAUGUAAACUACUGUUUGGAGAUGAGCCCGCGUACCAUUAGCUUGUUGGUAGGGUAAUGGCCUACCAAGGCUACGAUGGUUAGCUGGUCUGAGAGGAUGAUCAGCCACACUGGAACUGACACACGGUCCAGACUCCUACGGGAGGCAGCAGUGAGGAAUUUUGCGCAAUGGGGGAAACCCGGACGCAGCAACGCCGCGUGAGUGAUGAGGGCUUUCGGGUCGUAAAGCUCUGUCAAGUGGGAAGAACAUGAAAAAUGUUAAUAUCAUUUUUUUACUGACGGUACCACUAAAGGAAGCACCGGCUAACUCCGUGCCAGCAGCCGCGGUAAUACGGGGGGUGCAAGCGUUAUUCGGAAUUAUUGGGCGUAAAGGGCGCGUAGGCGGUCUUUUAAGUCAGAUGUGAAAGCCCGGGGCUUAACCCCGGAAGUGCAUUUGAAACUGAAGAGACUUGAGUAUGGGAGAGGGAAGUGGAAUUCCUGGUGUAGAGUGGAAUUCGUAGAUAUUCAGGAGGAACACCGGUGGCGAAGCGACUUCCUGGACCAUACUGACGCUGAGCGCGAAGCGURGGGAGCAACAGGAUUAGAUACCUGGUAGUCACGCAGUAACGAUGAACACUAGGUGUAGCGGGUAUUGACCCUGCUGUGCCGCAGUUAACGCAUUAAGUGUUCCGCCUGGGGAGUACGACCGCAAGGUUAAAACUCAAAGGAAUUGACGGGGGCCCGCACAAGCGGUGGAGCAUGUGGUUUAAUUCGACGCAACGCGAAGAACCUUACCUGGAUUUGACAUCCCGGGAAAUCCCUUGAAAAAGGGAUGUGCCCUUCGGGGAACCCGGAGACAGGUGCUGCAUGGCUGUCGUCAGUUCGUGCCGUGAGGUGUUGGGUUAAGUCCCGCAACGAGCGCAACCCUUGUCCUAUGUUAAAUUCUCAUAGGAGACUGCCUUGUACAGCAAGGAGGAAGGAAAGGAUGACGUCAAGUCAGCAUGGCCUUUAUGUCCUGGGCUACACACACGCUACAAUGGGUGAUACAACGGGUUGCCAAGGAGCGAUCUGGAGCUAAUCCCCUAAAAUCAUCCUCAGUUCGGAUUGCAGGCUGAAAUCGCCUGCAUGAAGUCGGAGUUGCUAGUAACCGCAGGUCAGCUAUACUGCGGUGAAUACGUUCUCGGUCCUUGUACACACCGCCCGUCACGCCAUGGAAGCCGGCAACACCCGAAGUCGAUGGGCUAACCCCGACUUGUCGGGGGGGCAGUCGCCGAAGGUGGGGUUGGUAACUAUGACG
rnacentral:rRNA from 1 species